AAAUUGCCAAUGACCAAGAAAGUAGCUGUUUAAUACGCUGUUAAGAGAGGGAAAGACGUGGCUGGAAUCUUUCCUACAGAAGCACUCAGUGAACAACACUUGAUAGGUUUUUCGUCGAAAUACCCUCGCGGUGCAGUAGACGGAAACGGAACCGGUCGUUAUCCGGACUUGAGAGGACACAAGCUUUUUGUGUCAAUUAGGGUGGAACCGCGGAAGCUAACAUUAGCUCUCGUCCCUUGC
rnacentral:ncRNA from 1 species